rnacentral:tRNA from 1 species
GGAUUUGUGGUGUAGCGGUUAUCACGUAUCGUUCACACCGAUAAGGUCCCCGGUUCGAUCCCGGGCAAAUUCA